GUGCCCAAGGCAUUAAAGGAAAAAGAAAAAAAAGCUGGUGGCAUCCUGGGGUGCCCAGGUGUGGUGGCCGGGCUGGCUCGGGGUGACACGGCGGUGACAGCGGGAUCCAGCAGCAGCCCCAGAAGGGAGGGAGCUGAGGAAGGAGCCUUGUUUUACGUUUCAGUGCAAGGAUUUAGGAAUCUGGGUGAGAAUUAGGUAAUGUUUGCGGGAGGGAGUAGGACACAACUGGAACUAAUCGCAACUGUGCGAGCGAGCCGGAGGGAGACGUCCUACUUCUCCGUCGUUCCCGAGAGACUUCCACUGGCAAGAUGAAGUCAUAGCCCUUACUUCACGAGCAGGAACUCAGCGUGCUGACAAAUGAGCCCUCUCGAUUCGUGCCGGACCAGCCGAAGAGGACGUUGCCCCCUUGCAGAGACGGGUGGGCAGGCAGGUACGAGCAGCCGCCUUGUAGGCGCCUGAGCGCGAGCUGCCAGAGCUGCUCCAUCACCGCCCGAGCCCGUGCCCCGCGCGGGGAGCGGUAAUUGCACCCAGCGGUGUGAGCCCCGCUUCCAGAGCAAACAAACGGGUUUAGGAUCUCCCCCUCGCCGCACUGCUAGGGGAGUCCCUUUUGGAAAAAGUGUGAAAUUUAUGGUAAUACGUGCUGAGGAUCUCGUGGCGGAUCUGGGCUGCUAAAUCCUCUAAACCUGAGCCCACAGCUUCAUUGACAGGGCCUCUCACUUUGCUCUGCUCCAAGCUUAUGGUUUCAGUGCUCCAAUAUUUUUCCAUACAUGGAAGCGUUCGUGCCCCAGCCCGGGCUAAUCCUGACAUGCCACUGCAUCUGGAUGUUAGCUCAUUUCUUGCAGCUGACACUGUACACAGGCAGAUGUCUGAACCUACUUUUGUUUAAACGGAUUUAUGUCAACAAGCAAAAGUCUCACCCCAUAGGUAAGCAGGGGAAAAAAAAAAAAAGUGUGGUUUUCCAUUUUACCUGCCUUCCAGGGCUGUUAGGUGGCUGGACAGGUCCCUGGUGAUGCUGUGCUGGGGAAAUGUCUGGUAUUUAAAUGACAAAGGGGCACAAGUUUAACCGGACCAGCCUUCGCUCCAGCACAAGCCCCCAUCUCGCUGCUGCGGCUCUGCCUUCCUCUCCCCUGCACUCUGGUCGCUUUUCUGUGCCCUUCCUGGGUCUGGGUGCUGUCCCCCUCUGGUCCCUAUCUCCCCUCCUGCCCCCAGAGACCCCCGCUCCGUCCUGCCAAAGGCUGCGUGCUGCUCGGGCCAUAUUCACCAGCUCUGCGGGGUCCCACUCGCGGUUGAGCGGGGUGUCACGGCAGUGCAGAAGAAAGAGCUGCUUGUGCCGCUGAGCUGCCGUGUGAGCUGGAGGCUGUUCCCGUGGCUCCCUGGCAGGGCCGGGCCGUAAGCUUUAAUUAAAUGGUUGUAAGGUGCUCCGAGAUCCUCCGCUGAAAGGCCCUGCGUAAGGGCGAAGUCUCCAAAGAAAGGCUGGAGACCUUUCGCACCCGUUGGGAAGGAUGGGGAGCCGAAACGGCAAGAUCCAAACGGGUGAGUCUGAAGUGACGUUGGCUCUCCCCUGCCCUCUGUGAUGGUUCAGAAGGACUAGUGUGACCCUUCCCAAAAAAGAGGGGAAUCGUGGUUUUAGUAGGGCUGCCAGUGAUUUCAGUUCCAUCCCCUCCUGCCCGCUGCUAGUCAAGAUGGCGUGCUAGGCUGGAGGUGUGCGUGGGGCGUUUUGUGUGUGGGUUGUGCUGUUUUAUUUGGAGCUAGGCAUCCGCUCGUGGCCUCUCGUCGAGGGGAUGUGGGCGCUGGGCGAUCCUGCUGGCCCCUGUGCCCUCGUGCCCGCCUGAGCACUGAAUUAUUUGGUGGUUUGCACGUGGCUUUCCCGCAGCCCUUAUUUCAGCCUCCACCAGCUGGACGGCUCCGGUGAUCAGGUGAGACGGCAGAUCCCCGGCGCUUUAGGAGUCUUCUUGAUGUCGGAGUUUUUUUUUUCUUCAAGUUUUUCUGGAUGCCGCUCUGGUGCUUUUAGGGCGGGUUGAAGGGCACCAGGUUACAAAUCCUGCCGUACAAGUACUGCCUGGGCGCUCAGCAUCCAGGAAUGCGCUGCUUUAUCAACUGAUAGCUACUGUUUAACAGGGCGAGGAGUUACGCUGAUUGCAUCCUAAGCUGAUGACUCCCCACGUUUAUUUUGCAGGCUGCUCCCUCUCUAAUUCUGCUUCGCGGCAGUAGCACAGAGACAGCAUUGCUGCUCCAUUACCAGCUGCUCAUAACCACCUCUUCCCCGUCAUCUCCGUGCUCGGGGAGCUUUGCAAAUCGUGCUAGGGAAGUGCUGAUGGCGUUGCCUUGGCCUGGCAGGUAGGAAGGAGAGGGGCUUGGUGCUGGGGGGGCUGCCCGGGGAGCCUGCGGUGGCUGCUCCGGGUGCAGGCUGCCAGCAGCACGGGCGAUCGCUGGCGUGGAGCAGCGUCGUGCCUCCGCUGUGCACGAAGGAAAAGCCCCAUCUUAAACAAAUGCGACGCUGCUCGUCUGACAGGUAUGGCCAGAGCACCGUCCUGAGAGUUUGUUUUCCACGCUUUUAUUUGGAGCUCAAAUUAAGCUGCCGUGCCUGUUGUCUGGAGGGAAGGGAAGCAGAGCAGCAGCCUCCUCGCCCCUGCCGGGUGCCGGCGGCUUUUCCAGCCCCGCCGUGACUUCCCAGCCCCGUGCGCCGUGAGCCCAGCCUGCCCCCCGCCGCUGCGCUGCACGCUCCCAAAAUCGCUUCGUUCCAGGGUUAGAAAAGACCCGGUUUUGUGUCCUCAGAGCUGGAUUUCACAGACACGUAACGGGAAAGGUCUUAAUGCCUUGAGCUUGAUCUGCUAAUCUGAAAGCAUGGGAAGUUUUUCAUAGGAAGAUUUGCUGCCUGGCUUUCACGGUGCGAGUGUGCACAAAUAGGUUUUAUUCCUGCGAUGGGGCAGAGCUGCUGGGUGCCUGCCACCAAGGUUACUGACAUUUAGGUCUCUGGUUUUGGUGGAGAUGCACAGAAAUACAUUUAAUGAGUAGGGGGUUCCAGAGAGUGGUACGGGUGGCUGGAAAUUGAGGGCAGGGACUACUUAAGCGCUAACGUAUGGCGUAGCUUUGAUUCCUUUUUAUUUUUUUUAAAGGAAUGGAAAAAGCUAAGGGCUGCUGAUGAGCAGUUUUUCCUCCCCUCAUGACACGCUUGUCCUUAGAGCCUUGUCGGCCACCUCCGUUGCAGUGCUUUCUUGACAGUCGCUCUCACGCCUCCUGGCCGUAAGUUCAAUGAUUUUGUGUGACGGGAGCACCCAGGGCCCCGUUUGGCACGAGGUGUUUAUGGCUUGAGCUGUGCGCGCAGCGGCGUCUGCUGCCCCAGUCGCUCCCAGGAUGGGUUUUAUGCCUAGAGAGGCAGUUUUCGAGCCAGUUAAUUGCCAGGUUGUAAAACAGAAGGGGACGUGGGUGUCCCUGCCUUUCCCUGCGGACAAAUCCCUGCCGGUGUCUCUCGGGGUGGAAGCGUGGUGACAGGAGGAGCCUCGUCCCCAGGGGCAAGGUGAGCAGAGGGACGGGGACAGGACAGGACCAGCAGCAGCGCUGCCUUGGCUGGGAAGGCGCCGCGCUCCAGGCAGCUUGACUUUGAAUUGCAGAAGUGAUCCAGAUUUUAGUCUGUUGAAGAAUAAAAUGCCCCGUGAGCCGUGCCUUUUGGCUCGGGCUGCCUGACCGGCCGCCCUGCUCUGGGCCCCGUCCAGCGUCCUCUUUUUGAUGUUGGUCUCCGUGAGGAUUUACUGCAGGCUUCACAGCUGAAAAAGCGGCGCGGCUGGUGUGAAAGCCUUGCUAGGAUAAAACUUGAUAGGAUGAGAGGCCACCGAACGCCACCUCUGUCUGUGGCCAUCCCUCUAAUUACUGAAUUAACACCCCUGGGCGCAGCUUGCGGGCCCACCUGGGGCUCGGGGCUGUUGUGCUGGGCCAUGUAUGCACAAACACACAAGGAGAGGCAGCCCUUGGGGUAAAGCUGCUUAUUUUUGGGGGUGUCGGUGCUGUGCAGGCGGGGAGCAGCCCAGCUGGGGCUCCGUGGGACCCCCUGCAACAUGUGGCACAACAUCCUCCCCCUUUACUGCUGUUGGGAAGUGACACAGCAAACAAAGCAACUCCUGAUGGCCAUCGUGGGUUAUCCAGAGCCAAUCCUUCCCCCAGCCGCACGCCUCCAGGACAGACGGACGCCGGGUGACACGGAGCAAGGCAGGAGAGCCCAGCGUGACGCAGUCGAACUGCUGCUUGGUGGCACAGGUGGAGGUUAGGACAUUCAGGGUUUCUUUCAGCGUUGUAGUGAAGAAUCUGAAAACGUGAUUCAUCCCUCAAUCCGCGUCUCAGGCAUGCGGUGGUGAAGUUAGGAAAAAUCUGGGUAUGUAUAAAGCGUUUCCUCCUGGGGGCUGGGAAACCCUUAGGUGCAGCAUUUGUUAUUUUACUUAAUUGAGUUUGAAAUCCUCAAUGCUCAGAACAUGCCCGCUCAUGUCUGUUGCAGGAAAAACUCAAUUGCUCAAUAGGAAUGGCUUUUCAUCCUGCCGCACUAAGGAGAAACUAAGGUCAAAUCUAUUGAAAAGAAGAAUUACCGAUUUAUUUAUUUAUUUAUUUUGUCAUCUGCUCAGAACCAGGGAAAUGGCUUAGCAGGUACAGCUCGUGGUGAGGAAGGUCGUGUGUGUGAGGCAGCUCCUGAGAAGGAAGGCGAUUCUGUGCUGAUGCUCAGCCCUCUGGGUUUGCUGGCCAUGGGAAGAAACCAGCUUUAUGCAAAAGCACAAGCCCAGGCUGAAGAGGUAGCACGAUGUGAAUCAUUGCUCCUGGUGGUGCGCGCUCACAGCCGUGGCUGCCCGUGCCCCUGCUCCUGGAGCGACGCUGACGACUCGUGCUCUGUGAACAAGAAGAUGAAGAAAAUGACACUCCUGGAACUGAGCGAAUGAGACACUGCCGGGGAGGUGGCAGAGGACGGCCUCUGCCUCGCCCGAGCUUGGGCAGCCGCAUCUCUUGUGCUUUUGUUCUGUUUUCCUCUCUCAUUACUCAGAGCGUUUGCUUCGUCCGGAGCUUCAAGCUAUACAAACCAGGGGUGUCGAGCAGGGCGAAGACGCAACGGUGCGUAAUUCUCAUCGAGGUCAUGCCAUGCUAUGCAAAGCUGCCAGGCAGCUCCUGAUUUCAAAGUUGGGAACUGCCGUUUACGUGCAUUUUUUCGGUGCCUCGUUGUUACCGGUGGAAGCACGUACUGACAGAGAAACGGGUAUUAACGUGACCAGUGCCGGCUGCAGCACAGACCCCGUUGUUCAGCUAACACAUCCUGCACUCACAGCUCUCGUGUGAAUGAAUGAUCACGCUCCAGCCUUCCCUGUUAAGAGCUAUUGAAGAGCACAGCAGGUUUUUUCACCUUGCUGAACCGAAUGUUACUAAGAAAAUAAAUUUAAUCAAG